AGUGAACGCUGGCGGUAGGCCUAACACAUGCAAGUCGAACGGCAGCACAGUAAGAGCUUGCUCUUACGGGUGGCGAGUGGCGGACGGGUGAGGAAUACAUCGGAAUCUACUUUUUCGUGGGGGAUAACGUAGGGAAACUUACGCUAAUACCGCAUACGACCUACGGGUGAAAGCAGGGGAUCUUCGGACCUUGCGCGAUUGAAUGAGCCGAUGUCGGAUUAGCUAGUUGGCGGGGUAAAGGCCCACCAAGGCGACGAUCCGUAGCUGGUCUGAGAGGAUGGUCCGCCACAGUGGAACUGGAGACAGGUCCAGGCUCCUCCGGGGGGCCGCAGGGGGGAAUUUUGGAAAAGGGGGGGAAGCCGUAUCCAGCCAAACCGGGGGGGGAAAAAAGGCCUUCGGGUUGUAAAGCCCUUUUUUUGGGAAAAAAAAGCAACCGGUUAAACCCCCGGUUUUUUGGCGGUACCCAAAGAAUAAGCACCGGCUAACUUCGUG
rnacentral:rRNA from 1 species